rnacentral:rRNA from 1 species
UGACCCGCGAACUCGUUUUCAUAUUGGGGCUCGUCGGCCUAGGUGCGCAGCGCUCGGCCGGCGAACUUCGGUCAGGGCGCCCUCGGUGUGCUGACCAAACAACGAACCCCGGCGCGAACUGCGCCAAGGAAUUUUUACUGAAGAGCGUGUCUAUCGUUGCCCCGUUCGCGGUGUGCACGUUAGGCUUGCGCCUUUGAAACACAAACGACUCUCGGCAACGGAUAUCUCGGCUCUCGCAUCGAUGAAGAACGUAGCGAAAUGCGAUACUUGGUGUGAAUUGCAGAAUCCCGUGAACCAUCGAGUUUUUGAACGCAAGUUGCGCCCGAAGCCAUUAGGCUGAGGGCACGUCUGCCUGGGCGUCACACAUUGCCGUCGCCCCCCUUCCAAAUUUUUCCCAUUCCUGGGGACGUUGGUAGUCGGGCGGAUAUUGGUCUCCCGUGCUCUCGAGCGCGGUUGGCCCAAAAGCGAGUCCUCGGAAACGGACGUCACGACAAGUGGUGGUUGAAAAGCCUUCUUAUCCUGUCGUGCACCAAUUCGUUGUCGCGGGCAUCGAGUUGACCCUGACGCGUCGUCUCUGACGUCGCUUCGAUCGCGACCCCAGGUCAGGCGGGAUUACCCGCUGAG